rnacentral:tRNA from 1 species
GGUUGUGGCUUAGUGGUAGAGCAUUUGCCUUGCAUGUGUGAGGCACUGGGUUCAAUUCUCAGCACCG